CUUCUUUUUAUAGGAGAAUUUAUUUUAUACAGAAGACAUCGUUUCCUAUUAAUUUAGAAGACUUGAAGAGAUAAAAGAUAUAAAAUAAUGCUCAAGAUAGAAGUACCUUUCUAUGUAGGAAUAUUUAAGAGGUAUGCCAUUCAUUACUUAUUUUGAUGAGGUUUUUAUUUCGUCUCUUGGACCCAACGUUCCUUAAAUUUCAUGGAAAAGAUUGGUAUCUCUAUGACGAUAGAUAAAUCUUCAGUUUUGUCAUAGUUGGUCAGGAUCAUUUAUGCCAUUGACUUGACCUCUCCAACAUCACAUACAAUU
rnacentral:lncRNA from 1 species